UACGUAGGGGGCAAGCGUUGUCCGGAAUCAUUGGGCGUAAAGAGCGUGUAGGCGGCCCGAUAAGUCCGCUGUGAAAGUCCAGGGCUCAACCCUGGAAUGCCAGUGGAAACUGUCGGGCUGGAGUCCGGAAGAGGCGAGUGGAAUUCCUGGUGUAGCGGUGAAAUGCGCAGAUAUCAGGAGGAACACCAGCGGCGAAGGCGGCGCUCUGGGCCGGUACUGACGCUGAGGAGCGAAAGCGUGGGGAGCAAACAGG
rnacentral:rRNA from 1 species